AUUGAACGCUGGCGGCAGGCCUAACCCAUGCAAGUCGAACGAGUGGCGGACGGGUGAGUAAUGUCUGGGAAACUGCCCGAUGGAGGGGGAUAACUACUGGAAACGGUAGCUAAUACCGCAUACCAUCGGAUGUGCCCAGGUGGGAUUAGCUAGUAGGUAGGGUAACGGCUCACUUAGGCGACGAUCCCUAGCUGGUCUGAGAGGAUGACCAGCAAAACUGGAACUGAGACCAGUGCCAGACUCCUACGGUAGGAAGCAGUGGGGAAUAUUGCACAAUGGGCGCAAGCCUGAUGCAGCAAUGCCGCGUGUAUUAAGAAGGCCUUCGGGUUGUAAAGUACUUUCAGCGAGGAGGCGUUACUCGCAGAAGAAGCACCGGCUAACUCCGUGCCAGCAGCCGCGGUAAUAC
rnacentral:rRNA from 1 species